GGGAGUCCACAUCCUCCGCGGCGGCGACAUUGGGUCACUCCUGGGGGAAUCAGCAGGGACUAUAACCCCUUAGGAGCGCCCCCUUCAGAUCCGGGGUCGCUGCAAAGAUCUCCCAGGCACAGGAGAUGGGCAUCCUAGGAAUGGUGGUUACACAACUUGUGGACACUGAGUUCCGGACGGUCCCGUCCCUGGAUGCCCACGUGGUCCCCCUAAACGCCCACCUCAUUCACACGGAACCCACCAUUCCCCACUCCAACAUCAACACUUUCUGUAGCUAAUGGACCAAAACCCGAGAGAGCGAGAGCGACUGGCGAGAGCGCACUGCGCCUGCGCAUUCCCAGAAUCUGUGUUACGCUGGAACUCCGCCCUAUAGGUGGAUCUUUUGGUGACGUGCAGAGCGGGAAGGCCUAUGACUGCUGAAGAGGACAAUCAGAAGGCGAUCCUUACAGGUCCCCGGUAGCUCGCCGUGAUCGUAUAGUGGUUAGUACUCUGCGUUGUGGCCGCAGCAACCUCGGUUCGAAUCCGAGUCACGGCAUUGUGGGAACAAUGGCACGGCAAGGGGCUUGUCCUUUUAGUUUUUUUUUUUCUUUUUGUGGACAACGUUUUAUAUUGAUCACAACUCGCUUUCUUGAA
rnacentral:tRNA from 1 species